ACUCCUACGGGAGGCAGCAGUAGGGAAUCUUCCACAAUGGGCGCAAGCCUGAUGGAGCAACACCGCGUGAGUGAAGAAGGGUUUCGGCUCGUAAAGCUCUGUUGUUAAAGAAGAACACGUAUGAGAGUAACUGUUCAUACGUUGACGGUAUUUAACCAGAAAGUCACGGCUAACUACGUGCCAGCAGCCGCGGUAAUACGUAGGUGGCAAGCGUUAUCCGGAUUUAUUGGGCGUAAAGAGAGUGCAGGCGGUUUUCUAAGUCUGAUGUGAAAGCCUUCGGCUUAACCGGAGAAGUGCAUCGGAAACUGGAUAACUUGAGUGCAGAAGAGGGUAGUGGAACUCCAUGGUGUAGCGGUGGAAUGCGUAGAUAUAUGGAAGGACACCAGUGGCGAAGGCGGCUACCUGGUCUGCAACUGACGCUGAGACUCGAAAGCAUGGGUAGCGGAACAGGAUUAGAUACCCUGGUAGGAUAGCG
rnacentral:rRNA from 1 species